rnacentral:rRNA from 1 species
GACGAACCGAGCGAACGUUGUUCGGAAUCACUGGGCUUAAAGGGCGCGUAGGCGGGCCGCCAAGUCCGCGGUGAAAUCCCCCGGCUCAACCGGGGAAGUGCCUCGGAUACUGGCGGCCUCGAGGGGGGUAGGGGCGUGCGGAACUUCCGGUGGAGCGGUGAAAUGCGUAGAUAUCGGAAGGAACACCGGUGGCGAAAGCGGCGCGCUGGACCCCAUCUGACGCUGAGGCGCGAAAGCCAGGGGAGCGAACGGG